UGGCUCAGGACGAACGCUGGCGGCGUGCCUAAUACAUGCAAGUCGAGCGGACAGAUGGGAGCUUGCUCCCUGAAGUUAGCGGCGGACGGGUGAGUAACACGUGGGCAACCUGCCCUGCAGAUGGGGAUAACUCCGGGAAACCGGGGCUAAUACCGAAUAAUCAGUUUCUCCGCAUGGAGAAACUCUGAAAGACGGUUUCGGCUGUCACUGCAGGAUGGGCCCGCGGCGCAUUAGCUAGUUGGUGGGAUAACGGCCUACCAAGGCAACGAUGCGUAGCCGACCUGAGAGGGUGAUCGGCCACACUGGGACUGAGACACGGCCCAGACUCCUACGGGAGGCAGCAGUAGGGAAUCUUCCACAAUGGACGAAAGUCUGAUGGAGCAACGCCGCGUGAGUGAAGAAGGUUUUCGGAUCGUAAAGCUCUGUUGUGAGGGAAGAACACGUACGGGAGUCACUGCCCGUACCUUGACGGUACCUCAUUAGAAAGCCACGGCUAACUACGUGCCAGCAGCCGCGGUAAUACGUAGGUGGCAAGCGUUGUCCGGAAUUAUUGGGCGUAAAGCGCGCGCAGGCGGUCCUUUAAGUCUGAUGUGAAAGCCCACGGCUCAACCGUGGAAGGUCAUUGGAAACUGGGGGACUUGAGUACAGAAGAGGAAAGCGGAAUUCCACGUGUAGCGGUGAAAUGCGUAGAGAUGUGGAGGAACACCAGUGGCGAAGGCGGCUUUCUGGUCUGUA
rnacentral:rRNA from 1 species